UGGGGAAUUUUGGACAAUGGGGGAAACCCUGAUCCAGCCAUCCCGCGUGUGCGAUGAAGGCCUUCGGGUUGUAAAGCACUUUUGGCAGGAAAGAAACGUCGCGGGUUAAUACCCCGCGAAACUGACGGUACCUGCAGAAUAAGCACCGGCUAACUACGUGCCAGCAGCCGCGGUAAUACGUAGGGUGCAAGCGUUAAUCGGAAUUACUGGGCGUAAAGCGUGCGCAGGCGGUUCGGAAAGAAAGAUGUGAAAUCCCAGAGCUUAACUUUGGAACUGCAUUUUUAACUACCGGGCUAGAGUGUGUCAGAGGGAGGUGGAAUUCCGCGUGUAGCAGUGAAAUGCGUAGAUAUGCGGAGGAACACCGAUGGCGAAGGCAGCCUCCUGGGAUAACACUGACGCUCAUGCACGAAAGCGUGGGGAGCAAACAGGAUUAGAUACCCUGGUAGUCCACGCCCUAAACGAUGUCAACUAGCUGUUGGGGCCUUCGGGCCUUGGUAGCGCAGCUAACGCGUGAAGUUGACCGCCUGGGGAGUGCGGUCGCAAGAUUAAAACUCAAGGGAAUUGACGGGGUCAUAGCUGUUUCCU
rnacentral:rRNA from 1 species